rnacentral:rRNA from 1 species
AGAGUUUGAUCAUGGCUCAGGACGAACGCUGGCGGCGUGCUUAACACAUGCAAGUCGAACGGUAAGGCCCCCUCGGGGGUACACGAGUGGCGAACGGGUGAGUAACACGUGGGUAAUCUGCCCUGCACUUCGGGAUAAGCCUGGGAAACUGGGUCUAAUACCGGAUAGGAACUCCUGCCGCAUGGUGGGGGUUGGAAAGUUUUUCGGUGCAGGAUGAGCCCGCGGCCUAUCAGCUUGUUGGUGGGGUAAUGGCCUACCAAGGCGACGACGGGUAGCCGGCCUGAGAGGGUGAUCGGCCACACUGGGACUGAGACACGGCCCAGACUCCUACGGGAGGCAGCAGUGGGGAAUAUUGCACAAUGGGCGGAAGCCUGAUGCAGCGACGCCGCGUGGGGGAUGACGGUCUUCGGAUUGUAAACCCCUUUCAGUAGGGACGAAGCGCAAGUGACGGUACCUGCAGAAGAGGCACCGGCCAACUACGUGCCAGCAGCCGCGGUAAUACGUAGGGUGCGAGCGUUGUCCGGAAUUACUGGGCGUAAAGAGCUCGUAGGCGGUUUGUCGCGUCGUCUGUGAAAUCCUCCAGCUUAACUGGGGGCGUGCAGGCGAUACGGGCAGACUUGAGUACUACAGGGGAGACUGGAAUUCCUGGUGUAGCGGUGAAAUGCGCAGAUAUCAGGAGGAACACCGGUGGCGAAGGCGGGUCUCUGGGUAGUAACUGACGCUGAGGAGCGAAAGCAUGGGUAGCGAACAGGAUUAGAUACCCUGGUAGUCCAUGCCGUAAACGGUGGGCGCUAGGUGUGGGGUCCUUCCACGGAUUCCGUGCCGUAGCUAACGCAUUAAGCGCCCCGCCUGGGGAGUACGGCCGCAAGGCUAAACUCAAAGGAAUUGACGG